rnacentral:rRNA from 1 species
GAAAAGAAACCAACAGGGAUUGCCCUAGUAACGGCGAGUGAAGCGGCAACAGCUCAAAUUUGAAAUCUGGCUUCGGCCCGAGUUGUAAUUUGCAGAGGAUGUUUAUGGUGCGGUACCUUCCGAGUUCCCUGGAACGGGACGCCACAGAGGGUGAGAGCCCCGUCUGGUUGGAUACCAAACCUGUGUUAAACUCCUUCAACGAGUCGAGUAGUUUGGGAAUGCUGCUCUAAAUGGGAGGUAAAUCUCUUCUAAAGCUAAAUACCGGCCAGAGACCGAUAGCGCACAAGUAGAGUGAUCGAAAGAUGAAAAGCACCUUGAAAAGGGGGUUAAACAGUACGUGAAAUUGUUGAAAGGGAAGCGUUUAUGACCAGACUUGUGUCGUGUGGCUCAUCCGAGGUUCUCCCCGGUGCACUCCACGCGGCUCAGGCCAACAUCGGUUCUCGUUGGGGGAUAAGAACAGUAGGAACGUGGCCCCCCUCGGGGGGUGUUAUAGCCUAUUGUACGAUACUCUGACGGGGACCGAGGACCGCGCUUCGGCUAGGAUGUUGGCGUAAUGGUCAUUAGCGACCCGUCUU